rnacentral:lncRNA from 1 species
GACGAACCACUGCUCGCUUUUUCGCCGGGCGUUGUGGAGGUGGAUCGAACCGAUAUGAACUUGCUACUUGCAUAAAAUUCACAGCACAUCUCAUAAAAAAUAAAUCGGGGGCUUGAGUAGGAUCGGGAAGAGGAGGAAGUUGUGCGGGAUCAACAUGAACUUCUUCUUCGGAUGAAGAAUUUGAAGAAGAAUUAUUGUUGGAAGAAUUGGUGGAUGAAGACAUUUUUUAGGAGUUGAAGAGAAUUGUUGGAUGAAUUGUGUUUGUGAUUGAAGGGGAUAUAUAUAGGUGAAAAAGAAAAGAAAAAAAAAUAAAAAAAAAUAAAAAAUUACGGCCGAAGACCGUUGAGCAACGGUCUUUUGACCGUUAAAAUUAAAUUUUUUUUUUUUUAAUUUCGGAAAGGGGCGCGUGUUUACACGCCCCCUCCUUCGCUCCCACAUUCGACGAGUGCGAGCGCUCGCCUCCCCUCCAUCGCACCCGGGAGCAACAACGG